rnacentral:rRNA from 1 species
CGUCUCAGUUCNGAUUGCAGGCUGCAACUCGCCUGCAUGAAGUCGGAAUUGCUAGUAAUCGCAGAUCAGCAUGCUGCGGUGAAUACGUUCCCGGGCCUUGUACACACCGCCCGUCACACCAUGGGAGUCGGUAACACCCGAAGUCGGUAGCCUAACCGUAAGGAGGGCGCCGCCGAAGGUGGGAUUGAUGACUGGGGUGAAGUCGUAACAAGGUAAC